AAACCCACUGUGCACUUCUUCAGCCUGCCCCUACUUGGGUGACUACAGGAGUCUGAGUACUACUGGUUGUAAUGGAAGUGUUGGGAGUAGCUAUCCUGCUAUUUUUCUGUUAAAACCCAUAUUUUCUUUGCCUAGAUGCUUGCUACUAACUGCUUUUUCACCUCUUGUCCACCCCUCCACCAGCCGCUUGGGGCCACCAUUUUAGACUUCAGCUGGAGCUGCAAGGAGUUAGUGAUCUUGUUUUCCAGUGACCCUAUUUGAAGUAGAAAGAACUGGAUUUUGCCAUCAUUUACACCUCAAGGAGCUGCCACAGGAGGAGGGGCCAGUGUUUGCCAGCUUGCUCUGCUCCCUGCAGCCCUCACUGGGGAGCCGCGCCACAGGAAAUGCUGAGCAGGAAUCAGACAUGAGAGCAUCGUGCUGGGUUGGUUUUGCUCUUGGAAACAGAAGGUGGAGCAAGCCACAGCUGAGACAAGGUACAGGCUGCCAGUGCCUGCUGGGAGCUGCAGCCAGGCAAGGGCAGGAAAGCUUCUUCCCUCAUGCAAAUGCAUUGGAUAGGGGGCUGCUUCUCCACUCUCUGGGAAGAAAGUGAGGCAGGUGUCAGGGUCUGCAGUGAAAGCAGGGUCCAUGCCAAGCAGGACGGAGGACUCUAAGGGGUCACAGCAGAGAGCUGCAUCCAUGGGAGCAUCCUGGAGCAACUGGCCACAUGGUGCUGACAUCCGAGAAGAU
rnacentral:lncRNA from 1 species